rnacentral:tRNA from 1 species
CGGGAAGUAGCUCAGCUUGGUAGAGCACUUGGUUUGGGACCAAGGGGUCGCAGGGUCGAAUCCUGUCUUCCCGA